UACGUAGGUGGCAAGCGUUGCCCGGAUUUAUUGGGUUUAAAGGGUGCGUAGGCGGCUUUGUAAGUCAGUGGUGAAAUAUGGCAGCUCAACUGUCAGGGUGCCAUUGAUACUGCGGAGCUUGAGUACAGAUGAGGUAGGCGGAAUUGACGGUGUAGCGGUGAAGUGCUUAGAUAUCGUCAAGAACACCGAUAGCGAAGGCAGCUUACUGGGCUGUAACUGACGCUGAGGCACGAAAGUGUGGGGAUCAAACAGG
rnacentral:rRNA from 1 species